GGCAACGGAUAUCUCGGCUCUCGCAUCGAUGAAGAACGUAGCGAAAUGCGAUACUUGGUGUGAAUUGCAGAAUCCCGUGAACCAUCGAGUCUUUGAACGCAAGUUGCGCCCGAAGCCACUAGGCCGAGGGCACGCCUGCCUGGGCGUCACACGUCGUUGCCCC
rnacentral:rRNA from 2 species